CUUGGUCAUUUAGAGGAAGUAAAAGUCGUAACAAGGUUUCCGUAGGUGAACCUGCGGAAGGAUCAUUAAAGAGUUAGGGUCUUCCAGGCCCGACCUCCCAACCCUAUGUUUACUCAAACCACCGUUGCUUCGGCGGGUCCGUCUCAGACCGCCGGGGGACUGUCAUAGGUCCUCUGGCCCGCACCCGCCGGUGGCCAAUCUUCAUAAACUCGUGAAUAAAACGUGUCCUUGUCUGAGUAUAUGAAAUGAAUUAAAGCAAAAAACUUUCAACAACGGAUCUCUUGGUUCUGGCAUCGAUGAAGAACGCAGCGAAAUGCGAUAAGUAGUGUGAAUUGCAGAAUUCAGUGAAUCAUCGAAUCCUUGAACGCACAUUGCGCUUCCUGGUAUUCCGGGGAGCAUGCUCGUUUCAGAAUCAUUAAAACCUCACAAGUCUUUAGUUUGGCAACACUCUAAAGGCAAGUGGAUCUGAGCAGUUCUUGGCUGUUGUAACAAACGGUCAUUGCUUUAAAAUGAUUUUAGUGACUUGCUGUGCAGUAAAUGCAGAGCUUGGCUAAAGCGCAACAAAAAUUGCCGCUUUUCUCAGCCUGUCAGACUUUGCCUUGCACCAGCCACUUCCAUUUUCUUACAUUGCUGAGCUCGCAUUUUGCUUGCUUUAUGCUUUGAAAACUUUGGUCUGAAAUCGAGCAAGAAAACCCGCUGAACUUAAGCAUAUCAAUAAGCGGAGGA
rnacentral:rRNA from 1 species